GAGAGAGACGUUUUUAAAACGUAGAGGAUUUAUAUUCAAGGAUCUCAAAACUGCGCAUUUUCAUUUCACUGCACAUCUAGAGGAAAAGCAGAAAUAGAGAAUUUCCUAGUCCAUCCUAUUCUGAAUGGUGCUGUUUCUAUAUUGGUCAUUGCCUUGCCAAACAGGAGCUCCACAUAGAGCGGAAGAAACCAGCCUCAGUGGCUGAAAGAGUCCUUUCAGGAAGGCGGGGCUGCAUUGGCUGCAUUGGUUUGCGAUGUUUUUAGUUGACCUUGACAAGGGGUUAAGUGAAAUUCUGGGUCUCUUUAGCAUGCCCUGUACCUGGUUUCUCUUUUACCUUUGCCUCUUCUCCCAUUAUUUUCUUUCCUUUAUUUUUCUUUACAUAUUUUUUUUUUGAGAUCCAUCCUCUAUCAAGAAGUCUGAAGGGACUUUAAAGGUUUUUGAAUUUAUAUUUAAAAACCAACUUAUAAAGCAUUGCAACAAGGUUACCUCUAUUUUGCCACAAGCGUCUCGGGAUUGUGUUUGACUCGUGUCUGUCCAAGAACUUUUCCCCCAAAGAUGUGUAUAGUUAUUGGUUAAAAUGACUGUUUUCGCUCUUUCUGGAAAUAAAGAGGAAAAAAGGAAACUUUUUUUUUGUUUGCUCUUGCAUUGCAAAAAUUAUAAAGUAAUUUAUUAUUUAUUGUCAGGAGACUUGCCACUUUUCAUGUCAUUUGACAUUUCUUUUUGUUUGCUGAAGUAAAAAAAAAGAUAAAGGUUGUACCGUGGUCUUUGAAUUAUAUGUCUAAUUUUAUGUGUUUUGUCUUUUUUUUCUUUAAAUAUUAUGUGAAAUCAAAGCGCCAUAUGUAGAAUUAUAUCUUCAGGACUAUUUCACUAAUAAACGUUUGGCAUAGAUAAUUAAAUAAA
rnacentral:lncRNA from 1 species